CUUGGUCAUUUAGAGGAAGUAAAAGUCGUAACAAGGUCUCCGUUGGUGAACCAGCGGAGGGAUCAUUACAGAGUUGCAAAACUCCCUAAACCAUCGCGAACGUUACCCCAAACCGUUGCUUCGGCGGGCGGCCGCGGGCUCACCCCCGCGGCCCCCGGGCCCCCUCCAGGGCGCCCGCCGGAGGCUCCAACUCUUGAAUUUAUGGCCUCUCUGAGUCUUCUGUACUGAAUAAGUCAAAACUUUCAACAACGGAUCUCUUGGUUCUGGCAUCGAUGAAGAACGCAGCGAAAUGCGAUAAGUAAUGUGAAUUGCAGAAUUCAGUGAAUCAUCGAAUCUUUGAACGCACAUUGCGCCCGCCAGUAUUCUGGCGGGCAUGCCUGUUCGAGCGUCAUUUCAACCAUCAAGCCCCCGGCUUGUGUUGGGGACCUGCGGCUGCCGCAGGCCCUGAAAACCAGUGGCGGGCUCGCUAGUCACUCCGAGCGUAGUAGUAUUAUCUCGCUCAGGGCGUGCUGCGGGUUCCGGCCGUUAAAAAGCCUUUUUUACCCAAGGUUGACCUCGGAUCAGGUAGGAAGACCCGCUGAACUUAAGCAUAUCAAUAAGCGGAGGAAAAGAAACCAACAGGGAUUGCCCUAGUAACGGCGAGUGAAGCGGCAACAGCUCAAAUUUGAAAUCUGGCCUCGGCCCGAGUUGUAAUUUGCAGAGGAAGCUUUAGGCGCGGCACCGACUGAGUCCCCUGGAACGGGGCGCCAUAGAGGGUGAGAGCCCCGUAUAGUCGGACGCCUAGCCUGUGUAAAGCUCCUUCGACGAGUCGAGUUGUUUGGGAAU
rnacentral:sRNA from 1 species